rnacentral:rRNA from 1 species
AAUGAACGUUGGCGGCGUGGAUUAGGCAUGCAAGUCGAGCGCUCAUAGCAAUAUGGGAGCGGCGAACGGCGUAGGAAUUCAUAGGAACGUACCCUCAGGUCGGGGAUAGCUACGGGAAACUGUAGGUAAUACCCGAUGAUCUCUGCGGAGCAAAGGUGUGAUUCCGCCUGAGGAGCGGCUUAUGUGAUAUUAGCUAGUUGGUGGGGUAAUGGCCUACCAAGGCGAAGAUGUCGUAGGGGGUGUGAGAGCAUCGGCCCCCACGACCGGAACUGAGAUACUGUCCGGACACCUACGGGUGGCUGCAGUCGAGAAUCUUCCGCAAUGGACGAAAGUCUGACGGAGCGACGCCGCGUGC